AAAUGAAAUGCGCUGUUAGUUUCCUCAAAACAAAUCAGAACACAAAAAAAGUUUUGAAGAACAGAAAUUUUUAUUGUUUUUAGCAAAGCUUGAAUUCAUAUGGGGUUUAUGCAGGAGAUGAUGAAGUGAACGACUGCCCCAUUGAGGAAGUUAGGCUAACUGUUCCAAUCACUGAUGACCCAUCACAGCCAACCUUGACAUUUCGUACAUGGGUUCUUGGGAUUUUAUCGUGCGCAGUUCUUUCCUUCGUUAACAAGUUUUUUGGGUACCGCACGAAUCAGCUGUCUGUUUCUUCAGUCUCGGCGCAGAUUGUUGUUCUCCCUCUAGGCAAGUUGAUGGCUGCAACCCUGCCAACAAGAAAAUUCCGAGUGCCAUUUACAAAAUUGUCGUUUUCAAUGAAUCCGGGGCCUUUCAAUUUGAAGGAACAUGUGUUGAUCACCAUUUUCGCCAACUCCGGAGCAGGCGGCGUUUAUGCAGUUCACAUUAUCACAAUUGUUAAGGCUUUCUACAAAAGGGAUCAGCAUCCGGCUGCCGCCUUCUUGUUAGCACAAACCACUCAGGUAAAUUUAUGGCAAAGUGUUUCUUUGGUGUGUGUUCUUGCUUUCUUGGUAAUUGUUUCUGUUGUGGAAGUUCAAGUUUUUGUAUGAAAUUUUCAGUUGCUUGGGUAUGGAUGGGCUGGCAUUUUCAGAAAAUACCUUGUUGACUCCCCUUACAUGUGGUGGCCUUCAAAUCUGGUUCAGGUCUCUCUUUUCAGGUAUUUUUUCAAAAGUUUUUUAAGUUGUUUUUUAACAUGUUUCCUUAGGUAUUUAUAGUUGUGACCAAAUUAAUUUAUGAUUUGAAAUGCAGGGCAUUGCAUGAAAGGGAAAAGAGACCAAAGGGAGGCCUUACUAGGCUGCAGUUCUUCCUUAUAGUUUUCAUAUGCAGUUUUGCUUACUACAUAAUUCCUGGUUAUCUCUUCCCCACCAUAUCUGCUUUCUCCAUUGUUUGUUUCAUACGGAAAAAAUCCAUCACAGCCCAACAGAUUGGCUCUGGAAUGAAUGGCCUUGGCAUUGGCUCCUUUGGCUUGGAUUGGUCGACCAUUGCUGGCUUCUUAGGCAGCCCUCUAGCCACACCUGGAUUUGCCAUCAUAAACAUGUUGAUUGGUUUUGUCUUGGUUCUCUACAUUCUUACCCCCAUUUCUUAUUGGUCCAAUGCAUAUGAUGCUAAGAAGUUCCCAAUCUUUACCUCCCACACUUUCGCCUCCACAGGCAAGACCUACGAAAUCUCCCGAAUUUUGAAUGCAACGACUUUCAACAUUGAUCUGAACGCCUAUAACAGUUACAGUAAACUCUAUCUGAGUACAUUCUUUGCCUUCAAUUAUGGGUUGAGCUUUGCCACUCUAACAGCUACUAUUUCACAUGUUGCACUCUUCCAUGGAAAGUAAGUCUUUUCGACAUUGCUUUCCAACUUAUAACGCUGCCAAUAUUUCUCCAGAGCUAAUAGCUUGUUCAUUGUUUAAUUCCUUCCUGUAUGUGAUACAUGAACAGAUCAAUCUGGUAUAUGUGGAAGAAGACGACUAGUGCCGUGAAAGAUCAGAUUGGAGAUAUCCACACAAGGCUAAUGAAGAAGAACUAUGAAGCAGUGCCCCAAUGGUGGUUUCACAUCAUCCUUGUUUUAAUGGUUGCUCUUUCAAUCUUUGCUUGUGAAGGUUUUGGCAAACAGCUCCAACUUCCAUGGUGGGGAGUUUUAAUGGCUUGUGGAAUUGCACUAUUUUUCACCUUACCCAUCGGCAUUAUUCAAGCCACAACGAACCAGGUAUGUUCAUCCUCAGAAACCAUGAUCAGUGUUCUGCAACUUUACAAUCAGUUUUCUGCAUAACCUGCUGCAAAUUUCGUCCGAAGAUUCAAUUUUCUCAUUCAAUUGUGUUCAUUGUGCAGCAACCAGGGCUUAAUGUGAUUACAGAGUUAGUUAUUGGGUAUAUUUACCCUGGGAGGCCUCUGGCUAAUGUGUCUUUCAAGACCUAUGGAUACAUCAGCAUGGCACAAGCACUAACAUUUCUUGGUGACUUCAAAUUAGGUCACUAUAUGAAGAUCCCUCCUAAAUCAAUGUUUGUGGCGCAGGUAACGAUAUCGAUUAGUAAUUGCAGCAUUUGUUUUAAAUUGUUCAUAUUUCUGAUAUAACCCCACUUGUAUGAAGUAUCUUAUUCUUUUCCUAUUCUGUAUGUUCAGUUAGUUGGAACAAUAGUGGCUUCAAGUGUGUACUUUGGCACAGCUUGGUGGCUUCUUACUUCUGUUGACCACAUCUGCGAUGUGUCAAAUUUGCCGGAGGGAAGUCCAUGGACAUGUCCUGGUGAUGAUGUGUUCUACAAUGCCUCAAUCAUAUGGGGGGUCAUAGGCCCCCUCAGAAUGUUCACUAGCAAAGGAGUCUACCCAGAGAUGAACUGGUUCUUCCUCAUUGGCCUGCUUGCACCUGUUCCCAUUUGGUUUCUCUCUAAGAAAUUUCCCAACCAAAAAUGGAUCAGGCUCAUAAACAUGCCCAUCAUACUUGGAUCAACAGGUAAUAUGCCCCCAGCUAAAGCAGUACAUUACAUAACAUGGUUUGCAGUUGGAAUUUUCUUCAGCUUCUAUGUUUACAAAAGGCACAAAGGGUGGUGGGCUAGGCAUAACUAUAUCCUAUCUGCUGCUUUGGAUGCUGGACUUGCCUUUAUGGGAGUUCUCCUAUAUUUCACCCUUCAAUCCAACAAUAUAAAUGGCCCAGAAUGGUGGGGUCUGGAAGGUGACCACUGUCCGUUGGCCAUAUGUCCCACGGCGCCAGGGGUAGUUGCCAAAGGCUGUCCAGUUCAGUGACAUGCUUCAAGCACUCCUACGUUGUAUUCCCAUUUCAUUUGUUCUGUGAAAAACCAGAGCUCAGUUCUUGUAGUGUUGUUGUAUGAUGAUGAUGAUCACCAUUUCAUGGCAGGCUGUAUAGUUCAUUAGUUUGAGUUGCUUUGCAGACUUGAGAUUUUAGUCUUCUGUAGCUAAAUAAUUAUUUCCUAAUCUUCCAUGAUUUGGGCAUAUACACCUAUCUCCUUAUUAAUAGUUUUAAGGCAUUCAAAUAUAAAAUUCAGAUGCAAAAAUGAAUUCACAUUUUGUUUCUGCAAUCUAUAACUCGAAAUACAAUUUCUCUGAAGUCUUAAGAAGACAACAUUUGAAACUUUUCAGUUUCAAACCUUAAAGUACGAGGAGAUAACUGGUAUGCUUAAGGUUAGUCAAUCUGGUUUCUCUGAUCAGUAAAUGCUUGCCCUCUUAAACCAGCUUGACAAAUUGAGAGAAAGUGCAAGGUUGUGACUUCCGCAUUGGUCUGGCAAAUCUGAUGUUUUGGUAUCAAAUCACUCCCAUGGUGACAUCACUUUCUAAACAUCUGAUGUUUACUUUUUCUAAAAUCUAAAGAAACUGAACCAUGUUUAUGUUUUGAUAGUCACCAAAAACUCGGGCAUGUUUGGUAUUCAAUUUGAAUUCAACUUUUUAAACUCAAAAACAGAAUUUUGAAUUCAAAACAAAAAAAAACAUGUUUAGCAGUUCUAUUUUUUAAAACUUAAAAAAACACCUCAAUUAUUAAAAACAAAAUAUAUCUGUUUUUUCAGUUUUUUUCUAACCCACAAGUUCUCAAAUUUUUAAUAUUUAAAAAUAAUUGUCAAGUUGGAUAUCAAACAAGUUUUUGAAUUAUAAAAAUAAAUUUAAAAACUCUUUAUUUUUAAAAAAAAUAAAAAAAUCUGAGUUCCUAAUUCAGCUGGAGGUGGAAAGGUAAACAAGAAUAUGAUAACCCUUUGAACUUUCAAAGGGACAUAUCAAAGCAUCAUAGACUCGUAAGAAAAGUAGGGCCUAGUCAGACAAUGAUUGUCAUCAUUUGACACAGUAUCUAAAACCACUCAUUAAUUUCACACCUUUCCAAGAGCAGAGUGAUUGGCAUUCAUGGGUUAAAAUUAAAAAACAUAUCAUCUUCUCAAUCCCUUCAACGACUUUGUCUUUGCCACAAAGGAUAAGGUUUUGACAGAUCAGCUGUUAGUGACCCGGUACUCUUUAGUGGUAGCAAUCAACCCAAUUAGACAAAUCAAAACCUUGGGCCAUGCUCAGAUGUCCAUCGAAUUAGAGAAACCAUUUGAAGAUAGGUUUUGUAUCAGAGGAGUUGCGUCUUCUGAGAGACUUUCAUGUAAUGUGGAUAAUAUUUUUUGAUAUCUUGAUUAAUAACGUAAUGAUAUAUGAGAUAAUUUUUUCAGAUGUCAUUGCAUUAUCGAUCGAAAAUAACAAAACAGUACUAUUCCGUUAGAAUAAGUUUUUUUCUGCAUCCAUUGACCCACCAAAAUAGCAAAAGUCAGUGGCAGUUCAUUAAUGCAUUUCACACUUGAAAUAAUAAUGGGUACAAUAAGCCUAUAUCUAAUAUGUAGCGGUUCUUGUUUUUUGGCAUGAGGGCAAUUAUGGCAGGUGAUUGUUCGUAGUUGAUAGUUAUAAAUAUUAUUUUAGUGUUGACGUUGGCUUAAGGGUGACAAUUACAUGUGCACUUAAGUGAUUGUUAUUAGCUUUCCUCAUGCCUUCAAUAUUCAAGAGCAUGUUCAUUUAUUUGGAGUGCUGCUAUUUUCACAUUCCUAUCUUAUUUUUCUAUUCAUUUUAUUUUCACACUCACCAUACAAAUUUAAAAAAACACAAUCAUAUCUUUCCACCCACCAUUAUUCCUAAAAUACCCUUUAAUUAUUAAUUCUUUUUUUUGUUUUUUCUCAUUCUUUCUUCUCUUCCUUCUCCCCUCCCCUCCCCUCCCCUCCCCUCCCCCGACUAUUCAAUGCUCAUUCAAUCUUCCACCAUGAAGCAAGUUGGUUCCUUCAUCUUCGGAAAAUCUUGGGAGGUCGUUUUUUUUUUUUCCAAAUUGAAAGGUCUCUUUCUGUUCUUUAAAAUUUCAGCGUUGUAGUUGGGUGGGUGGGUGCUGAAUUUUUGCUUCUUUUUUUUUCCCAUACAAACUUCAACAACGCACUUGCCCAGCAAUCCCACCAUGAAAGCAACAUGUUUGAAGCAAAGAGCCCAUAUAGAUAGAAUGAAAGUAUCGUUCAAAAAAAAACAAACAAACACUGUUUAGGUAUAUGUAAUAUAAUGGGAAUAUAGACUGCGACUUACUUUUAUGAAGAUUCAAAAUUUACUUUCCAACCAGUGAAGUGUAUGCGAUGAGAUUGAGAAGGCAACAGAGGAGGUUGUGGCGGCUGCCUCAAGAGUGCAAAACAAAAAUGAAUGGGCUUUAUUUAUUUUUUUAAAUUAUUAUUAUUAUUUUAUUUUCAGUAUUUUUAAUUCUUAAUGGGUGAAACAUGUUCUUUUCUUAAGUCCUUAGAAGUCAUUUUACAAAGAAUAAAUUUGUUUCUAAAAUUUUAAAAAUAAAGUGAAUGAGAAAAUAUGACAGUAAGUGAAAAUAACAGGCACUAUUUAUUUGUUUAAUAUUUUUAUUGACAACUUGGUACCACGAGCAAAGUUGGGACGCAUAAAAUGUUAAAGGUGAGAACUGAAAUAAAUGAUCCAAGAUUUAGGUGGGUGGAGAAGCUUGACUUUGAUUUUUCCUUUGGUAGUGGAAUCUGGCAUGUGGACAACUAGUCCAAUCACGUAUAACCGAUUCAUAAAUAAAUAAGGGGUGGACCCUCAAUUAGUACUCAUAGAAGAAUUAGAAACAAGGCGAUUAUGAACCUAAACAAACACUCACCCCACCCAUUCUCCACCACUAAAACUCUAAAAUAUAAAUAUAUCACCCAAUAAAAUGGCUGUUUGUCAAUGGAAUCUAAUCCGGUUGAAAAGUAUCUUAACUUACAGAAUAAUAAUUUUAUAUUCAAACUAUCAUAACAUCUUGGUCGUAUACUCACGAAAAGUUAGUAGAAUUUAUUUAAAUUAAUAUAUAAAUUUGUAAAUUAUCAUGAACUCGUAUAUAAAUCUAAAAAGAGGACAAUAAUUUGAGAAUUAUAAUAUAAAAAUGUACAGAAUGUAUUCCACUUCAUUACAAUGUCAAGAAAAGGGUGAACAACUCCAGAGGUUGACUAGUAUAUUCAAAUUAGCGGAGUAAUGUUUACAUGUCGAUAUCUUGAAUGAGAAGAAUAGAUCAUUUCCGAAGGUGGGUUGUUUCAAAACUUAACUUGUACGUGAUUUAGGGCUCUUGAAAAGUCUCCUGCACUGCAUAGAAAUGAUUCAAGUGGGGACAUGUGUGAACACUUUUCUUUUUCUCUUUUUAAUGGGAACAAAUUGGUUUAGGAAAUUCAAAAACCAUCUAACUUGUAAAACAAAAGAAAAAUGGAAAAACUAAAACGACAUAGGUUUAGUCUAGACAUAAACAUCAUGUUAGCUAGCAUGCAUCUCAUUUUCCACAAUAUCAAUCAAUCCACUUCACUUCAUAUGAAUGUUACAUACAUAUAUAUCCAAAAUCACUCCAAAUCAUGGGCAAGAAAUCCUCAACGUUUAAAUGGCCACGGUGUCCCACACUAGUGGAAUGCCGACUUCCACAAAGAUUUGACUACUCUCAAUAUCAAUUAGACUAAUGUACUAAUUAAUGUUUGAUGAACUUAUAAAUAUUAGAAAUAGAGGGCUCGUUUGUGACUUAUGGGGAGAAGCAUCUCCCACGUACUUCUCCAUAUAAUCAUUUUAAAAGCUCGUUUGGGACUGCUUCUCUAGGAAAUAUUUCUGCUCAUAAGUGCUUCUAACAAAAGCAUUUUAAUUAUAUAGUUGUUGAAAAUUUUAUAAAAAAUCGAAGUGCUUCCUGAAAAAGCACUUGGGAGUGCUUCUUGAAGAAGCACAUAACAUGUGCAUCUCCAAAAAGCGCUUUUAUGACCAAAAAGCACUUCUAAACUUUUCUGCCAAACGCCGUCAGAAGUGCUUCCGAUUGUCAGAAAGCACUUUUAACCCUUCAAGAAGCACUCCCAAACGAACCCUAAGUGAUUUUAAGUGAUUAUAGGAAGAAACACCUCUCAUGUGCUUUUUACUGACCUAUCCAUAAUCACUCCUAAAUAAGCCCUUAUUAAAUUGGACAAUAAUCUAAUAUAUUGUGUUUUAUAAGUCACAUCUAAAGGAGUGGGACUCAUAAAAAUUGGUUUGAACUCAAACCGAGCCCACCAAACAAGCUCAUAAAAGACCCAGAUUUUCAUUAUUUAUCCUUCCAUUUUUAGGGUUAUAAGAGCACUUCCACUCAUUUAUCAUGGCAAAAGGCAAGGAGGUAAGGGUAGUUACUAUCACAUGAAUAGUGUGCUUUUCCACCCAUUGCCAUAGCAACCCAAAGGCAAUUACUAUUCACAUGGGAUUAAUUUUAUUUAUAUGUGUGAGAUUAAUAAAUAAAAUAUUGCUAGGUAUGUAUAAAAAAAAAUUCCUGAAUUUUUUGGUAAUUUUUCAGAAUUGUUUUCAAUUUUUUUACUUAUUUUUUUCUUUGUUGACUUCAACGCCCGUAGUUCGGGCUGAUCUUGCCUUGGAGCUUGCCCAGUAUUGAUGGAGCCCACAUCCUGCCCGGGCUAGAAUGCAUUGGUGGAGAGGUUUUUUCAGCUCAAGAGGGUAAAAAGUCGUAAGUGGAAAUGCUCUAUCAGUUUGGUUGAUUUUUCAUCUUUUUAGCCGUAUUUUAAAGACUUCUAACUAUUUUUGUUUAAGGUCUUAAAAAUAUGGACCAUUUUUGUGUAGGGCUCGAAAAUAAAAUAGCUAGAAGUAGUCUUUAAUGAGUGAAAUAAAAAUUCAGUUUUCAAACCUUUCCUCCUUGUUUUUGACUCUUCUUGAUGUCUCACGUUAGCUAAGCCAAACUUACAUGGUUGUGUGCGCAGAGACCAAAGAGUUUAGGCCAAAACCAUCUGAUUUCUCCAGAAAAGAAACUACGUGCCGGCAUGGUUUUAUUUGUUAAUUGCAUUGUCCACACCAUAACAAAGUUUGUGUAAUGCAAAAACUAAACAAAAUAUAAUAUACACAUUAAAUAAUGCAGCCAAUAUUCUUAGUCUAAGGAGCUAGAGAGGAAAAUUUCAGGCAACUUGGAGGUUUCAGUCAGCCAUUGAAUUAAGAAUUUUGCUAACAUGGUCCGGCGUCUAUGCACGCACGAGUGAAAGUCAAUUAUUUAUGUAUUGUUAAAUUCACAUGUAUCGAUGAUCAAAAAUCACUUACACCCGUGUAAACGACUUGACUUUUAACACAUACCUUGACUCAAUUGUUACAAAGGACAGAAUAUUGUAUGCCCAUGUAAUUGUUUAAAGCUUUAAUUAAACAAAAGCCUGGUUGAUGGUGAUGGUGAUGGUGAGCAUGCACCGUGCAGCAGAUUGAGGUUUUUAGUUUUAUAGUUCUAUAAUAUUUUUUUUAAUAAAAACGAUAAUCUAUUUUAAUUUAAUCUAAUCUAAAAACAAAAAGAGAUAUUCAAAUCCGAGUGCAGGGAGUGGGAAACACAUUAAAUAUAAGCUAUUGAAUGUGAAGUAAAAUGCCCUUCUAGAAUGGAUUGGAUUGGAUUAUCACUCCACUUUAAUUCUCAUAUCUCGUGGACAAGAAUCGUCCACGUUUGAUAGUCACAAACGCACAUCUCAUCCAGUGCUAUAUCUGCCACUAAAUUAGUCCCAUAAUUUCAUUUUGGCAACUACCGCUGAUAUUAAUUCGCAUAGCUGUCAUCCCCCAAAAAUUGGAGGUCCAGAUCACUCAUUGUCAACACACAAGUCAAGUCUCCACUGUUUCGUAUUUUUCAUAAAUUAUUUUCUAGUAAAAGAAAAGAAGACCCAGAAGAAUCCCAACUAUCAAUUUAUUUUCUUCACUUGCCUUUUUCUUUGGGAAAUAAAUUAGAAGUAGCUUGGGUUCAUUUUUCCUUUAUGUGGGGGCCAAGAAGGAGUCUAGAUUCAUUUUCCUUUCAUUUUGUGCACAUGAAGAUUUUCUUUUAUACAAGAACAUGCAGUAGAAUCGUUCCAAAAUUCACAGAUGCACAAGUUCAUUUCGGAAGUCAAAUUGCUCAUGCUAUAAAUGCAUGAUAAGAUUACAACCCACAGGAUACAGCAAAAAAGGCUGUGUCUUUGACCCUUUUGUGCAUCAUCACACCAGAGCUGAGGCCCAAAAACUGGUUUCUUGAAAAAGAAACUACCAGCAUUGCUUUAUUUCUAAAAGCACCCAGCCUGGAUCUCAUUCCAAGCUUGUGCACCUCUAAACUUAAGUAAACAUCAAACCAAGUAGCUUGUGUAUAAAAGUAGUGAUGUGUGCUUGCAGUCACUGAGCGGUCGGCUGGCCUUAUUUCUACCAGGAGAGAGAGAAAGAGAGUAGAGGAGAGAGAAAGUGAGAGUGAAAGAGAGAGAUGGCAGCUUAUGUUGAGGAUGGAGUUCCUGAAGAAAAGUUGCCUGGGAAGCUUCAGUCAGAUGUUGAUGUAAUUGGUAAGUCCCUCUAAGCUAGUCCUACUCCUUGUAUCUCUCUCUGGAAUUCCUCUGUUUUACUCUCAGCAUGUUUAUGCAGAAUUGGUUAUCUCAAGAUUGGAUUGGAUCCCAUUUCAGUUGUGAAAUUUUCCUGGUGUUUCUUGUAUAUGUGAUGAAAUGUGUUUGAAUGUUCUUGAAUGACAUCAAGAAUGGGUUGACAGUGCCAUGAUAAUUGAUUUGAAUGAGAUAUUGCUACUUCGCUUAAAAAGUUUCUUCUUUUGAAGAGUUGCAAUUUGUUGUUAGAAAUUCACUCUGCAAUGUUGCCAAUUUGCUCAUGCUGCAGAUGAUGAAGUGAAUGACAACCCAAUUGAGCAAGUUAGGCUAACUGUUUCAACCACCGAUGACCCUUCACAGAAAACCUUGACAUUUCGUACAUGGGUUCUUGGGAUAAUUUCAUGCUCCAUUCUUGCUUUUGUGAACCAAUUUUUCGGGUACCGCCAGAAUCAGCUGUAUGUUUCUUCGGUCUCGGCGCAAAUUCUUGUCCUCCCUCUUGGAAAGUUGAUGGCUGCUACCCUUCCAGAGAAGCCAAUCCGAUUCCCAUUCACAAAGUGGUCGUUUUCAUUGAAUCCGGGGCCUUUCAAC
rnacentral:lncRNA from 1 species